rnacentral:rRNA from 1 species
CCUACGGGAGGCAGCAGUAAGGAAUAUUGGUCAAUGGACGAAAGUCUGAACCAGCCAUGCCGCGUGAAGGAUUAAGGCCCUCUGGGUUGUAAACUUCUUUUAUCUGGGACGAAAAAAGCUCAUUCUUGAGCACUUGACGGUACCAGAGGAAUAAGCACCGGCUAACUCCGUGCCAGCAGCCGCGGUAAUACGGAGGGUGCAAGCGUUAUCCGGAUUCACUGGGUUUAAAGGGUGCGUAGGUGGGUCUGUAAGUCAGUGGUGAAAUCUCCGAGCUUAACUCGGAAACUGCCAUUGAUACUAUAAGUCUUGAAUUAUCUGGAGGUAAGCGGAAUAUGUCAUGUAGCGGUGAAAUGCUUAGAUAUGACAUAGAACACCAAUUGCGAAGGCAGCUUACUACGGAUAUAUUGACACUGAGGCACGAAAGCGUGGGGAUCAAACAGGAUUAGAUACCCUGGUAGUCCACGCCCUAAACGAUGAUUACUCGACAUACGUGAUACACAAUGUGUGUCUGAGCGAAAGCAUUAAGUAAUCCACCUGGGAAGUACGACCGCAAGGUUGAAACUCAAAGGAAUUGACGG